UACGUAGGGGGCAAGCGUUGUCCGGAUUUAUUGGGCGUAAAGAGCGUGUAGGCGGCCAGAUAGGUCGGUUGUGAAAACUGGAGGCUCAACCUCCAGACGUCGACCGAAACCAUCUGGCUAGAGUCCGGGAGAGGAGAGUGGAAUUCCUGGUGUAGCGGUGAAAUGCGCAGAUAUCAGGAAGAACACCCGUGGCGAAAGCGGCUCUCUGGAACGGUACUGACGCUGAGACGCGAAAGCGUGGGGAGCGAACAGG
rnacentral:rRNA from 1 species